UGGGGAAUAUUGCACAAUGGGCGAAAGCCUGAUGCAGCGACGCCGCGUGGGGGAUGACGGCCUUCGGGUUGUAAACCCCUUUCAGUAGGGAAGAAGCGAGAGUGACGGUACCUGCAGAAGAAGCGCCGGCUAACUACGUGCCAGCAGCCGCGGUAAUACGUAGGGCGCAAGCGUUGUCCGGAAUUAUUGGGCGUAAAGAGCUUGUAGGUGGCUUGUCGCGUCUGCCGUGAAAACCCGAGGCUCAACCUCGGGCGUGCGGUGGGUACGGGCAGGCUAGAGUGUGGUAGGGGAGACUGGAACUCCUGGUGUAGCGGUGAAAUGCGCAGAUAUCAGGAAGAACACCGAUGGCGAAGGCAGGUCUCCGGGCCAUUACUGACACUGAGAAGCGAAAGCAUGGGUAGCGAACA
rnacentral:rRNA from 1 species